GCGAGUAUAGCUCAGUUGGUAGAGCGUGGUCCUUCCAAGUCCAAUGUCGCGUGUUCGAGUCACGUUACUCGCU
rfam:Genlisea aurea contig_557, whole genome shotgun sequence.